rnacentral:rRNA from 1 species
AGGGGCAGCAUGGUCUUAGCUUGCUAAGGCCGAUGGCGACCGGCGCACGGGUGAGUAACACGUAUCCAACCUGCCGUCUACUCUUGGACAGCCUUCUGAAAGGAAGAUUAAUACAAGAUGGCAUCAUGAGUUCACAUGUUCACAUGAUUAAAGGUAUUCCGGUAGACGAUGGGGAUGCGUUCCAUUAGAUAGUAGGCGGGGUAACGGCCCACCUAGUCUUCGAUGGAUAGGGGUUCUGAGAGGAAGGUCCCCCACAUUGGAACUGAGACACGGUCCAAACUCCUACGGGAGGCAGCAGUGAGGAAUAUUGGUCAAUGGGCGCAGGCCUGAACCAGCCAAGUAGCGUGAAGGAUGACUGCCCUAUGGGUUGUAAACUUCUUUUAUAAAGGAAUAAAGUCGGGUAUGUAUACCCGUUUGCAUGUACUUUAUGAAUAAGGAUCGGCUAACUCCGUGCCAGCAGCCGCGGUAAUACGGAGGAUCCGAGCGUUAUCCGGAUUUAUUGGGUUUAAAGGGAGCGUAGAUGGAUGUUUAAGUCAGUUGUGAAAGUUUGCGGCUCAACCGUAAAAUUGCAGUUGAUACUGGAUAUCUUGAGUGCAGUUGAGGCAGGCGGAAUUCGUGGUGUAGCGGUGAAAUGCUUAGAUAUCACGAAGAACUCCGAUUGCGAAGGCAGCCUGCUAAGCUGCAAC